GACGAACGCUGGCGGCGUGCUUAACACAUGCAAGUGGAGCGACGAACCAGGCUUCGGCCUGGGGCAGAGCCGCGAACGGGUGAGUAACACGUGGGUAACCUGCCCUGAUGAUCGGGACAACCCGGGGAAACCCGGGCUAAUACCGAAUGUGCCCGCGAGCCGCAAGGCUUGCGAGGAAAGGAAGCUUCGGCCUCCGCAUCGGGAUGGGCCCGCGGCCCAUUAGCUUGUUGGUGGGGUAACGGCCUACCAAGGCAGCAAUGGGUAGCUGGUCUGAGAGGACGAUCAGCCACACUGGGACUGAGACACGGCCCAGACUCCUACGGGAGGCAGCAGUGGGGAAUCUUGCGCAAUGCGCGAAAGCGUGACGCAGCAACGCCGCGUGGGGAA
rnacentral:rRNA from 1 species